UUAAAGAUAGACUAAGAUAAGUCUACAGACUCAUAAUUUGUUAAUAAAAGAAAUUUUUCUUUAAA
rnacentral:tRNA from 1 species